rnacentral:rRNA from 1 species
AUGAUGGCGCCGCCGGUUGUUCGGGAGCUGUGGGAGAUGGAAGAGCUCGUGGAGGAGAUCCUCGUCCGCAUCCCGCCGGAGGAGCCCGCGGUCCUCGUCCGCGCCUCCCUCGCCUGCAAGCCUUGGUGCCGCCUCCUCUCCGGCAAUGCCUUCCGCAACCGCUACCUCACCUUGCACAAAACACCUCCCAUCCUAGGCUUCUUACAAAGCUGGGAAGACCACGUCGAGCGCUUCGUCCCCACCACAAACUUCUGUCCCCAGAAUCCCGAUCGGCGGGAAAGUUUCGUGAUGGACUGCCGCCAUGGCCGCGUUCUUCUUCAGUGUGACUGGGACGAGGCGGAGAAAAAAGAAGGUGAUAUGGAGGAGGGAGAUUUAGAUGUGGGGGAGGAGGAAGGCAACUUGAAGAUGGUCGUCUGGGACCCGGUGUCGGGAAGCCGAACGAAGUUGCGCGGUCCUGACAUGUUCGACCCUGACAUCAACGGCACAAGCUAUUGGGGCACGGUGCUAUGUGCGUUGGAUGGCUGCAACCACGCUGCCUGCAACUUGGGCCCAUUUUUUGUGGCUUUAAUCACCCUUGACAUGCAGGAUGAGGAAGAUGAGAUCCAGGAUGGCAAUUAUACGAGCCACGUGUGGGCGUCUAUAUACUCAUCAGAGACCCGAGAGUGGACCUCACCUACCUCUAUUCACAUCGGUGGCGUUGGAAGAUUUGGAGCCUCCGUCGUCGGAAGGCCUAGUGUCCUUGUAGGACAAGCGCUCCACCUCCUCCUUCGUCGGGAUCCAACUGCGUCAGACAUUUGUAUUCUCAAGUAUGACUUGGGUACGGAUCGCCUGACAGUCAUUGAUUUGCCAGGGAUGUGUGUGAGCAGUUCGAACCCCCUCCUCAUCUCGGCGGAUGACAGUGGGCUUGGGCUCGUCUAUCUAGACCAGGACAUGAUGUGCUUCAUAUGCUCAGUGGAGGUAAGUGUUGAUGGAGUAGCGUCGUGGACCCAACUCAGAGAAAUUGACCUCAAGACACUUGUCCCCAUUCGUAAACCGAUGAAGUUAUCUUCACGAAAGUUGGUUGGCUGUUUAGAGGGCACCAGUAUCAUCAUUGUUGUCACUGAUCUCGGUGCAUUCACAAUUGAUCUCAAGUCCUUGAGGUUGAGGAAGUUGUCGAGUAAGCCGUAUAAAUUCACAUACCUGCGAGAUCUAUUUGAUAACCUCUUUCUCUACACGAGCUUCAACAAUCCA